GAUGAACGCUGGCGGCGUGCCUAAUACAUGCAAGUCGAGCGAACAGACGAGGAGCUUGCUCCUCUGACGUUAGCGGCGGACGGGUGAGUAACACGUGGAUAACCUACUUAUAAGACUGGGAUAACUUCGGGAAACCGGAGCUAAUACCGGAUAAUAUAUUGAACCGCAUGGUUCAAUAGUGAAAGACGGUUUUGCUGUCACUUAUAGAUGGAUCCGCGCCGCAUUAGCUAGUUGGUAAGGUAACGGCUUACCAAGGCAACGAUGCGUAGCCGACCUGAGAGGGUGAUCGGCGACACUGGAACUGAGACACGGUCCAGACUCCUACGGGAGGCAGCAGUAGGGAAUCUUCCGCAAUGGGCGAAAGCCUGACGGAGCAACGCCGCGUGAGUGAUGAAGGUCUUCGGAUCGUAAAACUCUGUUAUUAGGGAAGAACAAAUGUGUAAGUAACUAUGCACGUCUUGACGGUACCUAAUCAGAAAGCCACGGCUAACUACGUG
rnacentral:rRNA from 1 species